AUGUUCAAUCGAUCUAUCAAUUGCAACCGAAGGCAAAGCUGAACUGAGACGAUUUGUCACAGCUAUAAGAACGCCACCGACCCUCUUUUUUGAAGAGGUUAUUGAACUUCUAUCCGUACGGUAGACAGUAAACCGAUCAUUAAACAGCUGUGCUGAGUAGAACUCAUCAUUAAGCCACGUCUCAGUGAUGACGAUCACAUCAUUCAGUUACAACAAGGAAGAAGUCAGUAACUUUCGUACGCAGUCCUCUGAUAUUCUGAUAGUAAACAGUGAUGUAGUUCCCAUGUUCCAUUUCAAGAUUGUAUGCAGAACCAACCAGUUGGUUCGGAGUCGGUGUCGUCACGUUGACACCAGUCAGCUGUUGAGCCAUAGCCGUCUGGAAGUUGGUCACACUUGAGCGGAGUGCGGCAUCUGAGUUCGCUUCGGCGGGACAUAUACUUGUUCUAACUUUACCUGGACCAGCCAGCACGUUUAACUGGUGAGAGAAUGCAGAAUCCAGAGUCGCAACGUCAGGGUCAUUGUAACACAGUGGCAACAGUCGAGUUACGUCAAACACGCAAUGCUACCAUAGACUCAAUAGUAAGAUAUAAAUGUCGGGAACAAAUUCAGUUCAAUUUGUGACGCCAGUUUUCCCCCAUGUUUCUCCCAGAAAAAUCGCCCAAUACUGGUUUCAUUGACGGCUGACGCGCUGCCUCUAAUGUCAGUUUGCUCUUUCUAGGUGACCAUGACCUUCCAUGACAACGUUUAUUUGUUUAUUAGAUAUCGAGGUCGAAAAAAGCUAAUGCAGAUUUUUCGACAUUGAUUUGGAACUAACUUUGACCUCGGAAAUAUUCAGAUUUUCCAGGUUUCUGAGUCGAAGCCUAGGUGGAAGCGGACGGGUUUUGUUAGUAUGAUAUAACCUGAUGCGGCGCUGAAACUGCGGCCUAGUCGGUUCCGUGAUGGUGUAGUUCUCGGUGCCACGGUUGUUGAACGGUGAAUUAAUUGGGCUUGCGUAAGCCUUGAAGGCUGAUCCCAAUUCAACGCCACCCAUCGGAAGCUCCCACAGAAACACGUCUAUCUUUAGCGGAGGAAUUCUAAGCGUAUAAAGAUUCUGCCGAUAGUGUGGGGACUAAUGUGACGGUGUGAGGUUCAAAGAGCUCUUCAUAUGUUGACCACGAACCUGAGCAUUCAUUCUUUUUAAUUAUAUUGGUAUGAACUUAUGAAGUUGAUCUGGGUAUUAUGUCAGUCAUAGAUUGAGACUCAUGUCCGGCGUACCCAAUAAACAGAUCAGUAAAUUAGUUUUUAAUGAUCUGACAUGCCUGCAUCAUUCUCAUUACACCGUAUUAAUAUCCGGGAGCACUAGGUACCCCCAAGGUAGCACUAAUCAUCUCGGUAGAAACCUCGGUGAAAACUAUAAUCAACCAUAACGCUACUAGUUCCACCGUUGCGGUCCAGUAAUUGUAUGUCUUGGAGCGAUAGGAAAUCUACCACGAGAGAUAGACGUUUUUUUUCAAGAGCUUCUUGCGGAUGGCGGUGGAACGAGAUAGGUCAUCAAGGACUCCGGUUUUUCAGUCAACAUUUUGACAAUAAAAGGUUUGCUCCUAAAAUGCGGAUCCACUCCUAAAGCAAAAGUUAACGUCGGAAUAUGAGAAUUAUACUUUUUUCUACUAUGGCUCAUAAUAAUCAAGCGAUUUGCUCGUUGUCAUGGUCAUCAAACUGGCAGACUGAAAAGGAAGAAAGCGUCGCGUUGCGUUGCUUCAAGAAAACCAGCAUUGGGCGAAUGUAUUGGGGGAACGACUGGCGUCAUAAAAAAUUCGCCAGCAUCGUAUUGAUUGUUGAUGCUACGGUGGCGCAAUGCUACGGUGUUCAGCUGUAAAUAUUAUGCGUAGCGCGAAAAUUUUUGAGCGCAAGUGCUCGUAUACCUCCGCCAGUACGGUAAAUCGUGUUGGUGUUUUCGGCGCAGUAUUAUUUGGCCCAUUCGCGCAUUUAUUGUAAAAGACACCAGAACGAUUAAACGUACGAGCGGAGGCCUAUUAGCGAUUUUGUAUCAUUUUCGCUCUCUAUUUUCUUGCAACGAAUAAUAUAAUGAUUUAGAAUAAAUGUUCCUUUCAUUAGUGUUUUGUGUAAACGUUCGUCAAGUACGAGCUCAACCCUGGAAACCGUUCUUCCACUGGCAACUAACAACCAUGUUGUGGGUCGGUGGAUCAAGCCCCGUUUUAGUUAUUUUAGUGAUCCAUUAAGGCUCAUUUUUCGAAUUGUUUUACAUAAUAAGAAACCAAGAAUAAAUGUAAUGUUUUAUUGAUUGUUUUCAUCCUACAUAAUUCUACACUACUUCUUUUUGCUACAGAGUCAAUUAUUGUUCACACGAAUUAGAAAAUCUUGUACCUUUACAUAUUUACAUUUUUUAGUAAGAAUUAUUCAGUCAAAAAACUAAGGUAAUCACAUGCUUGGCGGUAUUGCAAUCAUAAACUCAAUUAGUAAGUGACGGUUCUUCCAAAUAUAAUCUUUUAGUCAACAGAAAUGAAUGAACUGCAAAGUAAACCUGUUUUAGGUGAUAAAAAAGCUCUGAAUGUUGGCUCCUUGUGCUCGGAUUUCUCUUUUCUAUAACAGAAUGCGAAACUACAUUUUUCGAAAAUAUAAUAACAUUAAAAACAAUUUUAGUUAGGAAACUUCUGUAAAUGAUAAUUUAGGAAAGAUUAUUUUCGAUGAAGUGUUUGCACCGGUUAUUCGUCAGACAACGCUGCACUUAUUCUUGAAGGUAGCUUCGAAUUGUAAUUUUGUGGUACGUCAUAUGGGUGUUGAGAUAGCAAACUUCAAUGGGACUUCUGAUAAGAAUUUUUUUAUGCGCCAGUCGCCCGGAUUUGGAUGAGAGGUUUGUAUGACUACCUCAACGGAGCAUCUUAGAGUUGCGCCAUUCAGUAUGCUGCUGGAAUAGAAGGUUGAACGAGGUACUGGUCAAAUUGGGGUUCAAGGCGUCGUCAAAAGAUUAGUGCCUGUGCCUAAAGAUGACGGUCACUAGCGGUCACUUUCAAAGCAAAAUAAUUUGCCUAGCAUUUUAUCGAGCACAAAUCCGACUUGGCAAACGCAUUGAUCUAAAAAUGCUACUUGAUGUUCACUGCAAGUAAGCCAACAACGAGGUUCAAGCUCCACCACCCUACGAGAAGAGCAUCAUCAACCACCAACCGUAAUUCAAAAAACCUCCACUAGAUGGACGGUUACCGUCCUUGGGCGUAAUGGGGUCAUUAGGAAAUACAAAAAUGGGACUAGGGGCGAUGACCGCGGUGCGAGGGCAUGCACCUCAAAUCGGUCGAUGACUUCAUGUUUCAGGCUCACUUAUCUGUAGUCCGUCGAUCAAAAUAGUUGAAAAUUUAUUGAAGGACUUUGAAGAGGUGGGAAGGAGGCGAAGAGGGCAUUAUGUAACAGCAAUAUCCUUCAGUGUAGACCUGAAAUGUAAUACCUUCCCCCAUCUCAGAACCCCGCCGUUUCUAGUUUGAAACCCAGUGCGCUACUACGUUCGCGAGGCUCGUAAGUCGGCAAAGUCCGAGAACCGAUCCGCCAAAUUACCGGUAGGAUCCAAACGCGAGUAGCCGGCCAAGAAGGAUAGCGCAGCGCGAGUCCCAAGCCACUCCGGAACCCGUGAAGCGUACCGAGGAUCUAUGCACGUGCGCGAGAGCGAGAAUUACCUGCCUGCGAGUAAUUGAGUAGUGAACGUGAGGCCAUUGAGUCGGAGAGUCUCUGUGAUACUCCCGACUGACCUACCCAACACCUACACAAUUGGGCAUGAUUCAAGUCAACCCAGGUAACCACUAAGCACUGUUCUGAGCAUUAUAACGGCCAUUAAACAGCUUUUCAGUGCUAAGUAGCUCUAUAUAAGGACUGUUCAAUUUAUAAAACGGACAACUUUCUUGUGCGAUAUCUUUUUUAUUUUUCAAUAAAAUCAUUAUCAGUUUUUUGCAUAACUUUCUAUAGCUAUUCUCAAAUGUAGGAAAAAUAUAACAUUGAACAAAAUGUUCUUUAUUGUGUAACUGAUGCGGUUUUCGUAAAACAUCAAUAAAACCCCAUUUCUCAAAAUUCGACAUUACUUUCCACAUACUUAUCAUGCACAUUUUCAUGAAGUUUUUAAUGUAUUGGAAUCUUGUACUAUCCAAUUAAAGUUAAAGCUCAAUAGUUGGUCAAUAAUAACACAGCGCAACAUUUUUUUGUCUCAAGAGCAAACUUAUGUGUCUCCGAAGGAUUUUGGGCCGCUGAAUCCGAAUCCGGGCUCAGAUUUGCUCUAACAUGUAACAAUUUUGAGCUAUACCUCAAUUUAUGGGGCAAAAUAUGCGAUUUUGGGCUUUUUUGACUGCAAGCCAUUAAGCAAGGCAAUAUUUUUUUAAGUAAUCAUAAGGUUAAUUGGUCAAUUUACAUCUAAAUUAACGACUCAUGCAAAAUAUUUUGUUUUACCUAAUCAAAUUUGAUAGAUUUAAUCAUUUUAUGUUAGUAUGGAAACUUGCAUGCAACUGCUGGAGGGUGACUUGUAUGGGAAAUAUCGUACCUAACAUAAAUCGCUUAAAACUAUCAAAUUCGAUUUGGUAAAACGAAAUAUUUUGCACGAGUCGUUAAUUUAGAUGUUAAUUGACCAAUUAACCUUUUGAUUGCUUAAAAAAAAAUAUUUUCUUGCUUACGGCUUGCAGUCAAAAAAGCCCAAAAUCGCAUAUUUUGCUCCAUAAAUUGAGGUAUAGCUCAAAAUUGUGACGUGUUAGAGCAAAUCUGAGCCCAGAUUCGGAUUCAGCGGCCCAAAAUCCUUCGGAGACACAUAAGUUUGCUCUUGAGACAGACAAAAGGUUAUUUUUUGUUACGCUGUGUAAUGCACCAAGCAGUCUCCAGCUUGAUAUAGUGAGUUGCCUUGUUUUCAUAGAAAUUAUUAAAAAGUGUUCAUUUAAGUGCUAUGUUUCAAUAGCAUCACGGAUUCGGCUAAAAAUUUGUCCAGGGUAGUAGAAUAUUGAUCUCUGAAUGAUGCAGAAGAAAAAAUUACUUUUAAUUGCAUUUUCCAUCAAAAAUUUAAUCCAUAAAGAUAAUCAUAUUAAUAAAUUUCAUACUUUUUGCUCCAUUAAUGCAGAUUUUCGACUCUAGCGAAUCUUGUUAUUAUUUAUUUUCAACAAAGUUGAUCCUAUGUUAUUGUACACCUUAUUUAAUAAUAAUCGGAUGCAAAGUUUUUAUUUCCAACAUCAUUGUUACGCAAAAUUUGCAUUAGGUUGCAUUGAUAUUUGGAAGAACCUUCAAAGAACGAAACGGUUUUGAUUACUGUGUCUGUCAUGGCGCACAGUAACCAAACCAGCAAUGCUAUUAAGAAGCAGUUUUCUGCAUUUAAAACCUUAUCAUUCCCACUUUCGACUGGAUGCAUAAAAAAAUUGAUUAUUUAAUAUUUUCAUGCCCUUUUUGCUUUAUACAUAAUUCAAUUUUAUUCAAAAAAUCGAAUCUCACUUAAGACUUCAAUAUCUCAACACCUAAUUUCCCGAUUGAGUUUAAAUUUUGCCAGAAUGUUUAUUACUCAUGCAGCUGCAGCAUGGCACAUACUUUUCUGGUAUUAAAAAUGAUAUACCAUAAGUAAACAGUGAUUUUAUAUAUAUUUUCAAUUUUCAGCAAUCGAAAAAUUCACCUCAUUUAACACCUGGCCGAUUUUCUAUGAAAUAAAACUAUUUUUAUUCGAUUCAAAAAUGAUUACUAUAAUGAAAGAUGAUGUACUGAACAACGAAACAAGGGUGGUUAAAUUUGAACAAAGCGUCUUCUUUUUAUAGCCUUGUAAAGUUGUCCGUUUUAUAAAUUGAACAGUCCUUAAGCAUUCUUAAUUCUUAUAGGCACUAUAACCAGUAAGAACUAAAUUAGGCCCUGUAAGCCUAUAUAAAGCCUACAAGCUGUAAAUAAGUUUGUCAGUGCUGUCACAGGGCUUGGAGCACAUGACGUUUAUAUCAAUCAAAAUAGAUUUCGACCAAAACAGACUCGAGUCGGUCAUGAUCAAUACAUUUUAAACAUCCAUGUCGGACGGGAUUGACGAAACGGGAUUAUUUUUGUUGUUGGCAUGUUUAUCGGAAUGGUGUUAUAAUGGAAUUUGGUUAUCUUGAUUAUUCCAUUUUUUUCAAUCAAGACAAACUCCAGCUCGUUUCCCUCUUCUUGUGAAACGUUUCCCGACCAUUUAUAUAAACAUUGCUUCUCCUGCAUCAAUUCCUGCGUUCGUUACCACCAACCUUACCACUGAAUCAUCCUCAUCCCAUAUCAUUUUCAACCCUCGAAAUGCCCAAACUAUUUUAUUUUUCAUGGUUUAAAUACUAGUUUGAUCACACCAUUCCCAUGGUGCAUUGGUGGAGCAGAUGAGAAAGGCAACGGACUUGGACUUGAUCAGGAACUCGGAGGACAACAGUUAGAAUCUGGAUGAAGUAGCAAAAAAGCAACUUCAAUGGAAGCGAAGGAAGUUAGAAAAGAACAGGAGAUAAACAAUUUUUUUUUUCUUUUUUCUUUGUCUCACUUUUGACAA